CUCGAACCGCCAAUCUUUCAGUUAGCAGUUGCACACUUAACUGUCAGUACCACCGGGGGGGGACUCCUUCCUUCAGGAUCAAACCAAAACCAAACCCAUUGCCAGAACCAAACCCAUUGCCAUCGAGUCAAUUCAGACUCAUAAACCCAUAUUCAUUGCCACUGAGUCAAUUCCGACUCGUAACAACCCUACAGGACAGAGUAGAACUGCCCCAUAGAGUUUCCAAGGAGCGCCUGGUGGAUUUGAACUGCCGACCUUUUGGUUAGCAGCUGUAGCUCUUAACCACUAUAAAAAUAAAAAAAAAAAACCCAGUGCCACCAACAAAAAAACCAACUCCGUUGCUGUCAGGUCGAUUCCAAUUCAUAGCAACCCUAUGGGACUGAGUAGAACUACCCCAUAGGGUUUCCAAGGAGCGCCUGGUGGAUUCAAACUGCCAACCUUUUGCUUAGCAGCCAUAGCUCUUAACCACUACACCACCAGGGUUUCCACCACCAGGGUCCUAUAAGUCAGGGGAGAACUGCCCCACAGGGUUUUCAAGGAGGGGCUGGUGGAUUGAACUGCCAGCCUCUGGGUUAACAGCUGAUCUAACCACGUACUUCAGUACAGUGACUCCUGACUGGUGCAGACUGGAAAGCAGUCACACAGAAAAGUCCCUCCUCUGACGUGGCACCUCUGCACACAGGCCCUUGCUGAUGGCUCUACCUAACAGAGCCAGCAGUCCCUGCCACCCCUCUCUCCCUCUCCUUUUCCGCAUAGCACUUCCCAGAGCCUGGCACGCUCUGUAUCUGCUUGCUAGUUACCGUCUGUCUCUUCUGCCAGAUGUGAGCUCUGGACUCUGUCUUUUUCACUCUUGUAUCCCCAGCAUCCAGAACUGUGAGUGUGAUAGUUGCUCACAGACGUGCUGAAUGAAUGCUAACGUGUCCUAGGACAGCACGGACAUUCCUCGGGCCUCUCCCUCAACAACUGUUCGCGAUUCUGCACACGGCAGGCACCCUCCACAUCUCUCACUGCUAAACCGCUAUUUCUUAUUAAGUUUCUAAAUUGCUGAGCGGAUUAGAGGAUUCCUUUGAAGCUUUCAUGCUUAAACUUUGUAGAAAGAAAUUCUCUGUCUCUGUAACUGUUACUGGGACAGAUUAGAAAUAAUUUGGAACUGAAUGGAUGUGGCAUUUUGUAAGCAUUUCUUAUCUGCCAGGGCUAAUAGUGGACACUUUAUUGCUUACAAUAGCCCAGGAGGAAGUCUCAUUAUCUGCAUUGUACAGAUGGGAAACCGAGGGUCAGACGGGCUAACGGCUUAUGCUCGCCGCUCUAUAAAUAUGGCUCUCGCCAAUAAAGAAUGUAUUGUAACCCGUAAUAAGUUUGCGAACUUAGAAAUUACAGGGACACGGCAGCUCGAUACAGCGGAAGGAGAACAAGCUUUGGGUUCAGACUGAUAUGGUUGGAAUUUUAACUUCCACUCAGUAGCUGCCCGACCUUGUGCUUGCUAUUUAAUCUUUCCGAGCUGUUCAGGAGUUCAGCAUGAAUAAUGAGAAGCUGUAGUCACGAGAGCAGGAACUGUAAAUACUACUUGUCGAGCUGUCUAGCUGCGUCUCCUAGUGUGGACUCCAAGCCUCCCUGGCUCUUCCUGUUUGGGCCAGCCCCUCCCUCUGACCUGGCCUGCUAACCUGCUGGCCACCUUAAGCACGGCACUGUGCGGACGGGCCAGGACCACAGGCUCGCACCUCUGGGUGGUGCCAGUCCUGCCCCUACCACUUAGCUAUCUGGGUGUCUGAGCAGAUUCCCUAACCUGUCCACACCACCACGUUCUCAUCUGUAAACCAGAGGUGUGCAGUGAGGACCACACAGUGAAGAUAAAGCGGAUGGAAUGUGCUUGGCAGCCAGAGCACACGUGACGACACACGGCUGCAGUGGCUGCGCACUGGGAGCUGGCUCCUGGGGUUCAGCACUGGCUCCAGCCUCUCACUCAGCUGCAAGCACAGGCCUCAGGGCUCCGGGUUCCAGGGUGGUUCGGCUCUGAGGCUGCACGUGCGUUUGAUGCUCCAACAGGAAAAGCCAUGGGCAGCCUCUGCUGGCGCCCUCAGUGCCGGCAAUGCAGCUGCUGUCGAGUCGGCCCCCAGCUCAUGGCAACCCCACGCACAACAGCACAAACGCUGCCCGGUCCAGCACCAUCUCCAUGAUUGGUUGCAGACUGCACUGUUGUGAUCCACAGGGUCAUUUCUGGAGCUAGAUCGGCAGACCUUUCUUCCUAGUUUGUCUUAGUCUGGAAGCACCGCUGAAACCUGCUCAGCAUCACAGCAACACGCAAGUCUUGUUGCGGACAGAUGGGUGGUGGCUGUGCUUAGGUGCACUGGCCGGAAAUCGAACCCAGGUCUCCUAAAUGGAAGUGGAUUCUUCACAAGGCACGCAGAGAAAACCGUCAAGAACACGGAGAGACAGGAUUGAGGCUAACUGAACGGGGGAAGAAAACUUCCUCGGAGACCUGAAGAAACACAUUACCUUUCCCCACUUCUUGCGGUGCUCCCUGGAAGCUGCUUUCACCGGGUAACUUGUUUCCAUGACUACACCAUUCCUCAGUGAUAAUUUUAUAGGUUUAGCACAUUUCCAACUAAGUAACAUCACUCCUGCUUCAGGGAGAAGGACCAUAUAACAAGCUCAAAAUGCCAAGAGGCCCCCAGAGGUCAAUGCGCCACAGAACAGCGCCGCCAGCCGCUUCGCACACACACCUCUCCUCUGCUCCUCCGAGAAGUUCAACUGUGUCACGGGAGACACAUCCUGACAGCCAGAAAAAGCGGCAUAAUUUCACAGGUUUGAAAUUACCACCAACAGACUUCAGACAAACCAAACUGCUCACUCUCACCCAUCAACGCUUGGGUGCACCCUCCCUGCCUGCUCCCCAGGCAGCUCCACACGUCGGAUCCCACCCAACUGCCAGGGCGCGAUCCUGACCUGAGGACCAGUAGAGAGAACAGGGUCCGUGUCCUUAUUCUACCACCUGCUUACCCUGGGAACUUGGGCAAAGCACCCGACUCUCCUAAGCUUCCAUCUCCACGCUGACCUCACAGGGUGUCUGCAAGAACUGAGUAAACUGAGUGUGUGAAGCACCUAGCACAGGUCUGGCCUGUAAACCACACCCCACCGACAUUAGUUCUCUCACGUUGCGUUUUCCUUGAUAAGAACCUGUUGGAGGAGGGUACCCAGGCUGCUCGAGGAAAGCGGUGGGUAUUUCAUGGUGACUAAAGGAGACAGGAGGAGCCCUGGUAGCUCAGUGGUUAAGCACUCGGCUGCUAAAUGAAAGGUCAGCGGUUCAAACCCACCAGCUGCUCCAUGGACAAAGAUAUGGCAGUCUGCUUCCGUGAAGAUUACAGCCUUGCAAACCCUGUGGGGCAGCUCUAAUCUGUCCUGCAGGGUGGCUGUGAGUCAGAACUGACUUGACGGCAAAGGGUAACACGUAAAGAGGAGCAUGGAAAUGGGAAAACUGAGACAUGAGAGACAUGGAACGUUCAGUGAGUCCAAAUCAUACGGGCCUUGAAUGUAGAAUAAAGAAGCGUUGGGACGCUGCCACAAGUGAGACAGGAGGAUGGUGUACUGAAAGGCGUCACAGUGCGAGCCCAAGCCUCAAACAGGCGGCUCAGAUCCAGCCAGCUCCCUGAGCCUCGGCUUUUGUACGUGCAGACAAUACCACUACUCAAAAGGAUGUCAUGAGAAUUUAAAAUGACAAUUUAUAUACCAUUGUCUUAGAAACAGCAGGUACUCAAUAAAUGUUAACUAUGUAUUUAAAUAUUCUUUGAUCCAUAGGACUCAACUUUGAUCCACUGGACAUGUCAUCAGGAAAAACCAAUUGCUAAGAAAGGCCAUUAGGGCUGGUAAAACAGAAGGCUAACAAAUAUGAGGGAGGACCCCCGUGAGAUGGAUUCACACAACAGCCACAAUGGGCUCAAACAUGCUGACAAUCAUGAGAUGGCACAGGGCCAGGCAACGUUUCUUUCUGUUAUACACAAGGUCGCCAUGAGUCAGAGCCAACUCAGCCAUAACGACUUAUUUAAAUAAUUACACUAAAUACAUUUACAAACAUUCGUGUACAUCUAUAAACAUUUAUAAUCUUUCAAAUAGAGAAACACUUUCAGCCUUGCAACAUCCAACUGAAAGAGUCAAAAUUAAUACCACAACCACCA